GGCCUCGUGGCGCAAAGGCAGCGCGUCUGACUCCAGAUCAGAAGGUUGUGUGUUCAAAUCACACCGGGGUCA
rnacentral:tRNA from 1 species